CUUCUUUUAUGCUCGCUAUGAUAGAUUCAUCAUGAUCACCUUCCCCAUCCGUGUCCUUUCGAAACAAAGGAAUGAAACCGCGCCCACAAAGACGAUAGCUAUGCUAGCACGAUCAACAGUUCCGACUUUGUUUCGUUUUUUUACAGUUAUUCCCCGACACAAUUCUUCAAUUAGGAUGUCCUGAAUGUUUCUUUCUUUCCGUGCCCUUUUCUGGCCAUCUAGAAAUUCUAACUCAACUGCCCCUCGCCACCACGGCCAAAGCCAUGAAACCACAUUCUUUGAAUCAACCAUAAAAAGCCACCGACUACUACCACAUGUUAAUCCCCACCGGAACCACCACUGGAAGCUGUCUCCGCAACAGUUUUCACCCUCUCCUGCUCGUGACCGUUCCUCUCCUGGCCAAAGCCACUCCUCAUCAUGACCUCCCUUGCAGCAGCAUCAUCGAUCUAGGUGGCUUGCUGUUGUCGUUGAUUUGGGAAUUGGUGGCGUGGAUGAUUGUCAAGAUGGUGAAGGCUGGGUUCGAGUGAGGGACGAUCUAGGUGGUCGCAGUUGAUUAUGAAAAGAACGAUGACUCAUUUAUCUCAUAAGACAAACAAUUAAUUUCACAAACUGGCAAUGGUAAAGCUGCGAUCAGCUAGGAACAUCUUCCGUUGCAAUGGAUUUUUCACUGCUAACCCUAGCUAAUAGACUCUCCAUUAAGAAUUAUUUAAAUCUAUUGGUUAUCAUGCCUGCUGUAUGCUAUCGACAGCAUUCCAAUUUAAGUUUUAAUGAAAAAAGAAAAAAUAAAGAUGCUGAUCACGAAUUAUUAUUAUUUUUAAUGAAAAAAGGAGCCAAGCAUUUUUUAUCACGAAACUUGUUAAUAAAAAAUAAAAAGAUAAUGCCUUUUUUACUAAAAUUAAUUUUAAAAUAUAUGAAUUAAUAAAAUAUAACAAGAAUUGCAAAGGCCAAUUAAAGGUUUAAAAUGGUAUAAGUUGAUAUUUAUAAUAAAAAAAAAAUGUAUAAAUAUUUUAUCCGUAUAGGUUAUAAAGAGUUGUGCUUGUUAACGGUAACGUAGAGGUAAUAAAUUAUGGAAUAGAGAUUCAAGCGAAGACAACGAGACCAUUUUUAAAGUUGGUUUUUAUUUAAUUUUAUUACAAUUAAAAUAAAUAUUUCAAGAGUUUGAAGGCUUUAAGUUUUUGAGAAAAAAAAUGUAUUUCUUUAGUCAUAAUAUUCAUUUUUUAUUUAUGCAUUUUUCAUGUUUUAACAGAACAUGUCACUUAUAUUAACAUCAUGAUUUUUCAAUAAAAACUUAAUGUAAUUAAAAUAAAUAUUCACAAGAGUUUUAAUAAUUUAAAUUCAUGACAAAAAAUAUAUUUCUUUAGUCAAAAUCUCUUAUUUCUUAUUCAUUUAUUUUUUUAUUUUGAAGAAAACAUAUUUUUUUAUUAAAACCAUAUUUUUUAAAUAAAAACUUAUCAUGAAUAAGUUUUUAGCACUUGUUUGGAAAAAACAAAACAAUAAUUAUUUCAUGAAAAUUAUAUACAAAAUUUAUGAUAACAAAAAAAAAUAUUUUACUCUUCUUGAAUAUUCAUGUGCAAUAUUUUUAAGAAAAAAUUAUAUAUUAGAUUUAUAUAUAAUUAUUCAUAAAAUAAUUGAAAAAAUUAUCAUAUAAAGCUCUAAUCUCAUUUAAAGAAAAUGAUAUAAUCAAGUUAUUUUUUAAAUGUCAUCUUAAUUAUUUAUCUAAAUAUAAUUUUAUUUUAAAAUAAAGGCUAAUUAAGUUAAUGUAGCUCGUGCAUGUUUGGACUUGCAAGGCAAGGCAGGCGCCUCUAGCCUUAAAAAAAAUGACAACCCGUACAUGACUAGGCUUCAAAGAAUGACUUGAUAUGUUUAGAUUUACAAGAUCAAACUUGCAUAUCUAACCUUAAAAAACAAAGAAGUCAAGUUUUAACCAUCUAAGUGGUGGCCCAGUGGUAAAAGUUUGGGACCAAGAGAUUUACUCCCUCUGUGGUUUCAGGUUCGAGCCCUGUGGUUGCUCAUAUGAUGGCCACUGGAGGCUUACAUGGUCGUUAACUUCAGGGCCCAUGGGAUUAGUCGAGGCGUGCACAAGCUGGCCCGGACACCCACGUUAAACUAAAAAAAAAAAAAGCCAAGUUUUGUUUGGCUAAAAGGUUAGACCUACCAGCUUGGCAUGAAAGGAAAAUCUCAAGUGUUUUUAUGGCAAAUAUAGUGUCAUUUACUAAAAUAUUGAACUCUAAAUUGAGAUAUGAGUCUUUGUGAUUCCUAAAAAUUAUACUUUAACUUAUUUUAGCCAAAAAAACACUUAUAAAAAAUCAUAUAAACCUCAAUAAUUCUAUUUUCAACUCUAAAACAACCUUCAAUUAGUUUAAAAAUCAAAUAAAAAAACAGUUAUGGACCUUGAUUUACUUUCUUCCAACAUGGUUAAAGAGAAAAACCGCAUAUAUUCAACUUUAUUUCCAAAUACAAAAUUAUUAAAUCAAAUUCAACCUUUUUUAUUAUUGGUAAGUGGCAAACCAAAAUUUUUCUCUCCUCUCCCUUCUCUAAUGACUUCCUUUUUUUUUUAUUAGCAUCUAAGGAUCAAAACAUGAAUAAAAUGAAGUUUUAUGAUAAAAUAUCAAACAUUUAAAACCAUAAGAACAAAAAUAUAAAAAUAAAAAACUUUAAGGAUCAAAUUGAUUUUUUUUCAACAUCAAUGAACUGAAACACUAGUGGAAAUAAAGUUUUAGGACUCAAAUAUACAAACAAUAUAUAAUGAAAUUAGGUUUGUCGUAGUUCAUUAUUCAAAGCGAUGGAGUAAUCUAGUGGUAAGGAAACUUAUAAUUUAUUAAUAAAAUAAUUCAGUUUGAUGUUUCGUAGACUGCAGAUUUUAUCCUUCAAGUUUACUCAUCUAAUUAACGAGCUUGUGUGUGUUUUUAUCAUAGUAACUUCCAGACACCUCUUUCAUGGAAACGGAGCGUUUUAUAAAGGAUAAGAAUCUCUUUUCGCUUUCUCCUGUCAGUUGAAAAGACAAGUAGUAGUCCUUGUGGAGAUUCUAAAAUCAUUUCGGCCCCAGGAGUGUUACUGUUAUUGAGUGCAAAUCUAUGUCGAACAGAUACAUUGGAAUGGGCCAAGCCCAUCUUUUCCUGUACAUAUAAAAUAUGCUGCUUGCCAACAUCUGUCUUUUCAAUUUUAUUUCUUACAAGAUGUUAAACCCUGCCGAGGUUGGAAAAUGUUUUUGAGCUGAGAAGCAUGUAAAACUUGGUUGGAUUAACUUUCAAGAUUUUUUUUUUUAAAAAAAAUGAUAUUAUUUUAAUAAAAAUAAUUAAUUCAUAUUUAUCAGAUGACUUGCUUAUUGACAUGAUGAUUCAACGAUUUAAGUUAUUUCUCGAGCUAAUUCUCAGUAAAUAUAAUCUAUGCCAUAGUUAUAUUUAUCAUUUUGUUUCCCUUCCCUUAAUGACAUGUAGCUAUAUUUUCACCUUUCAUAGACUCUCAAGGCAAAACUGGAGUAUGGGCGCCGAACAAUACUGAGAAAUCUGCGUUGUCGGAGUUUUUUAUUUUACUGUGUAGCUUAGUGGCUAUAGCACCAAACUAUCACCCACCUCAUCCAGGUUCGGGACAUGCUUUUUGAAGAUCACGUGGUACAUCCACUUCACCUAAUGAUGGGGUAUAGAAACUUCAUUUGGUUUUGUUUAUGUGUUUUUUUAAAUAAAUAAAAAAUUUAUUUUUUUUAGUAUUUUUAGAUUUCUUAUUAAAAUUAUUUUAAUAUAGUUACGUUACUUUAAAAAACAAUUAACAGCUAUAUCGGAUGAGGAGUGAUGGGAUGUGAAUUUUACUCCAAACCGGAAAAAUGAACAUGAGAAUAAUAAUAGGCAUGCAUGGCUACCACGAGUUUUGGGCAUAUUUUUGGACCAUGGAACCAAGUAAUUUUCCUGUCUUGACUAGUCGAUUAAGUAUCAGCAUAUUUGUAUUCAGCGUUUGCGCUGCUUUGUCAAGAGAAUUUUUUGGUUUCUAUAUAUGCUUUAAUUUUAUUGUGAGCAAAUCAAAAGGAUUUGGUAUACAACCAAUCGUAUCGCAUAUUACGGGACCUCAGAUGGACAUAUAUACCAAAUCAUGAAAGAGCCCGAAGCUGGCUUGAUGGCCUGUGGCUUUAAAAAAUUCUGCACAUAUCUUCAAAUCAACUCAGAUUUCUGGGAACUUAUUCUACGUACAUUGGAAUUCAAUUUAUAGACAUUUUUAACUAAAAAGAUAAUAUUCGGAUGAAGGUACGUCCAUACGCCACGAAGACUUUCUAUAAGUUGUUGCCUGACUUGUCUUGUCUUUUUUCUCUGCCCUUGAUUGUGAGCCUGGCUCGUAUGUGUUUAUAUAUAUAUAUAUAUAGAAGACUGCUGACAUGUAUGCUGCAGUUACUACAGGAAGAUCAAAUGUAAUUUAACUUCACAAAUCACAAGCUACGAUUUUGUUUCUUUUAAAAACAAUGUCGUUUGCAAGUGGCCUUUAAGACAAUCACAUAAUAAAUAAUGUCGUUCUAUAAGGUGCCCCACGGGCCGAGUCAAAAAGAAAUUCAACGUAAAGAAAUAAUGCGUAGAUGAAGCUAAGUGUUUCAAAGAAAACAACAAAAAAUCUAAUAUUUUAAUUAUUGAUUUGAUUGAGUCUAAUAAACUUAAUUAAUUUAAUAAUAAAAAUAAAAACUAUAAUAACAAUAAAUAAAUAAAAAUUGAUAAUAAUUAACUCGAAAAAUAAUAAUAAACUUAUAUUCUUGAAUGAAUCAAUUUAUUCUUAUUUGAAUUUAUUAGAUUGUUAUGCAAUGUAGGAACAUGAUCAAUCCAUAAGUUGAUUAUUGGUUGAAAAAAAGCCAUGGUCAUAAUUUCUAAAUAAAGGGAAUUAUAAAAUAUAUAAGAUUUUCAAAUUUACUGAAAAGAUAAAAGAUAAUAUUCUUGAUUUCAUUAAACCUUAAUCCCUAAUAAUGCAAAGUGAAUUUUUAUUUUACAAGAAUUCUCCUUCUUUUAUGCUCGCUAUGAUAGAUUCAUCAUGAUCACCUUCCCCAUCCGUGUCCUUUCGAAACAAAGGAAUGAAACCGCGCCCACAAAGAGGAUAGCUAUGUUAGCACGAUCAACAGUUCCGACUUGUUUCGUUUUUUUACAGUUAUUCCCCGACACAAUUCUUCAACUAGGAUGUCCUGGGUGUUUCUUUCUUUCCCUGCCCUUUUCUGGCCAUCUAGAAAUUCUAACUCAACUGCCCCUCGCCACCACCGCCGAAGCCAUAAAACCACAUUCUUCGAAUCAACCAUAAAAAGCCACCGACUACUACCACAUGUUAAUCCCCACCGGAACCACCACCGGUAGCUGUCUCCGCAACAGUUUUCACCCUCUCCUGCUCGUGACCGUUCCUCUCCUGGCCGAGCCACUCCUCAUCACUGACCUCCCUUCCAGCAUCAUCAUCGGUCUAGGUGGCUUGCUGUGGUCGUUGAUUUGGGAAUUGGUGGCGUGGGUGAUUGUCAAGGUGGUGAAGGCUGGGUUCGAGUGAGGGACGAUCUAGGUGGUCGCAGUUGAUAAUGAAAAGAACGAGGACUCAUUUAUCUCAUAAGACAAAACAAUUUUCACAAACUGGCAAUGGUAAAGCUGCGAUCUGCUAGGAACAUCUUCCGUUGCAAUGGAUUUUUCACUGCUAACCCUGGCUAAUAGAUUCUCCAUUAAGCAUUAUUUAAAUAUAUUGGUUAUCUUGCCUGCUGUAUGCUUUCGACAGGAUUCCAAUUUAAGUUUUAAUGAAAAAAGAAAAAAUAAAGAUGCUGAUCACGAAUUAUUAUUAUUUUAAAC
rnacentral:lncRNA from 1 species